AUUGUAUCGUGGAUGACAUUCUUGACUACUUCAUAGGUCUUGGGACUCAAGGGGUUCAGUUGACCAGUACCUGGUUCGGCUGCAAGAGCUGGACUACUAGCAGCAGGCCACCAGAACAUAUUCGCACAAGUGAUAAUAUCAGGGUAAGCUUCAGCCCAUGAUCCUGUAUGUGCUGCAAUAUGUGCAAAAUUACAAAACAUUUCAGUAGUUAGUAAGUUUUUGAAGUAAAACAGAACUUUUUUCGAAUUGUUAAAGUUAGAUUCACAUGAUUUGUAAAGGUAAAAGUUCUAGUUUCGAGCAAAUAAUGCGCUAGCAGUUUAGUCCAACUUCAUAUUGUCGACGGUGAGUUUCUUAAAGAACUUUUCUGUGCAUUAAUGCAUGCUAAAAUCAGCACAAGUGAUGCACACCCAAAGUAAUAAUUUACAAAAGGUGUCUCCUUUCUCAGUUAUAAGUGUUUAGAUGAGACUGUUCACAAAACUCAAUUUGAUAUCAGAGCACUACGCAGCAACAAAAUAGUUUCACAAACUUAACCCGAGAGAAACAUUUAGGGAACGUGUCGAAAAACCUAUUAUAAAUAAAAGUAGCCUCUCUUCAAGAUUUAAGCUUUUAGAUGAGACCCUCCACAGAAUUGAAACAGUAUGUUGUAAUGGCUUUCCUCCUUACUUAGUGCAUGAUGUGAGUUCCCUGUGUCUUUGUGAGCCUUACUGUAAGAUAGAUGACUGUCUAGAAAUAGCAUCUGCAUUUGGAAUAGGGAUUCUAAGAGAAAAGAAAAAGGAAAUUCAUAUCUGAGGCUAUAUAGGUCCCAGGUCUGCUGAUGAAAAUUAAGAUCCACUUCGGAUAAGAGAUUCCCUUAACUCAUUCAAGUAUUAACAACCCAAUAUGGACCAAAAACUAUCAAGGCCACACCAUCAAUUAGCUGAAUAUUUUUAACCAGAAAAAUAAAAGAAUCUGAUCAAAAUAUUCAAUAUGAUAACUUCCGUUGCAUGCCAUUCAGUAUUUUCAUUUGUUUAAUGUGCCCCAAGGUUCUUUUAAGUUCCAAUAAAUUAUAUAGCGAUCCCCAGGAUUGGAUAGUUUUUAUUUGAAUGAAGUAUCCCCGGGAUUGGAUGGGUUAAAUGAUACUACUUCAGAAUCCUAUCCUGUCCAAUAUGGCCUUACCUAGGAAUAUCUAAACAAAAUAAUUGUACUUUGUAAUCCAAUGUGCAUGAAUCUAUAUUACCUUUCCAGAAAUAUUUUUCUGCCAAUGGUGCUUUUAUCAUUAAAGAAGUUGUUAUUCAAGAAAAAGCUACCCCAAAACUCUAAUUUCCCUUUGGCAAAGAGCAGUUUUACUCAGCUUGUUUUCACUUCAGAAUUCAGUUGCUACUAAAAGCAUAAGGAAAUCUUAUUUCACACUAUUUAUACAAAGGAACCAAUGUGACAUUUAUGGGAAAAUGGUUUUCUAUGUGCUUUCUCAAAACUAUCACUACCUGCUUCUGGGGAGGGUUAUUGCGUUUUGCCUCUGACUGGGAUCCAAAAUGAGUUUUAGAUAUAGUAAUCUAGAACUUCUAAAAUUAUGAGCUCAAAAUUUAAUAUUUUAUUGAAAUUUCAAUAAUUUUUGACAUGUAUAUCCAUGCACCUCUCUUCCGCCACUAGACUCUAAUUAUUCCUAAAGGUUUUGUUUUCUAUCAAUUGUUUUGUAUAUGUAAAAAGUUAUUCGUACCUUUUGACAUAAGACAAAAAGUACAAAAUUAAUAAAAAUAAAUUCAAGAAAGUUCCAACAAAUUAAUUAAUGAUCCCCAUGUUCUGAAGGGGAAAAAUCACCAUGUUCUUAAUAAAUUAAAAUAAUACUUCCAAAAGUCCAAUCUUGUUCCUUUACGGGGUUACCUAGAAAAUUUUAAAAGAUAUUAUCCGUUUGGUGUAAUAAGCAUCCAAAAGGAACUUACCAGGCAUGUCAAUUUCCGGUAAAACUCUAACUCCAUGUUCCAGUCCAAAUUCCACGAUCUUCUGCACGUCCGCCGGCGAGUACAUCAUCUCAUUGCCGUAUGCUCCUUUUCCGGCGAGCUCCGGCUCCGAAGGAAUCACAAGCGGAAACGAAUGUGAAUCAGUUAUGUGCCAGUGGAAAACAUUCAACUUGUUCAUACUCAUAGCUUUAAUAAGCCUCAACAAAUCAUCAACGCCGUAGAAGUUUCUCGAAGUGUCCAGCAUCACACCUCGGUGCGCGAAAAUCGGCAGAUCGUGUAUGUACACGCCGGCGGCGACUCUGGUAGGUUUUCCGUACACGAGUUGCGAGAAUGUCUCGAGACCUAGCAUGGCUCCCCAUACAGUUUCGGCAGUGAUAUAGGCGGAGGGGGAGCCGUCGGAAGGAGUGGAGAGAACAUAGGAUUCGUUGACUCCGUGAGCAAGGGGUGAAGUGACGUCGGAGAUGGAGAUGAUGAGGCUAUGUAACGGUGUUGAUGACGUCAGAUUGAUCGCCGGAGUGAUGAUUGGAUGGUGGUGCUCAGAGAGGAUGAGGUGGAGGUAACG
rnacentral:lncRNA from 1 species